rnacentral:lncRNA from 1 species
CACCAACUGACUUCAUUGUAACUUUGUUGAAAAAUAUCAGAGAUUUAUUUUAUGGAUUCAUUUGUUCUAAUUACCUGUAUGCUGUGGCGAAGGCUGCUCUUUUUGUAUGGAAAAAUUAUCUUGUAGUUUCUUGAUGGUUCCAACAAUAAGAAUUAUCACCAUACAUCACCUAAUGCACAACAUCUCUCCCAACAACCAUGUAUAUAGUGCAUUGUUUGUUAUAAAGUCUUUUCAAUAACCAUUAUGUAUCUGGUUCUAAUGGAUGCCAUGGUCGCCAUCCAUAUUUCAAAAAAUUCUGCUUACCAACAGUUAUUGGUGAACUUGCAUGGUUAUCAAUAUGUCUUGGAAUAGUACAUUGUCUUGUUAUUUCUAUCGAGUCAUGUCUGGUAGUCUGUUGACUACCAUGAUAAAAUUCUCUGGUUACCAAAAUUUCAGGAUCAAUUGACUCACAAAUGUACCAUGCAUGGUUAAGAACCACCAUGUAUUCUACAGUUACACCACACAAUGUCCUGCAAAAUUUCAGAAUCAGUUAUUUCACAAAUGCACCAUGCAUCUAUCAUGGUUAAGAACCACCAUGUAUUCUACAGUUAUACCACCAUGUCCUGGAUAAUGGUAUUGUCUCUUGACUACCAUGAUAAAAUUCUCUGGUUACCAAAAUUUCAGAAUCAGUUGCUUCACAAAUGCACCAUGCAUCUCUCAUGGUUAAGAACCACCAUGUAUUUUACAGUUACACAACACAGUGUCCUGGAUAAUGGUAAAGUCUCUUGACUACCAUGAUAAAAUUCUCUGGUGACCAAAAUUUCAAAAUCAAUUGACUCAUAAAUGCACCAUGCAUGUCUCAUGGUUAAGAAUUAACCACCAUCUAUUCUACAGUUAUACCACAAUGUCCUGGAUAAUGGUAAGUGUCUUGACUACCAUGUUAAAAUUAUCUGCUUACCAAAAUUUCAGAAUCAAUUAUUUCAUAAAUGCACCAUGCAACUCUCAUGAUUAAGAACCACCAUGUAUUCUACAGUUAUACCACAAUGUCCUGGAUAAUGGUAAAGUCUCUUGACUACAAUGAUAAAAUUCUAUGGUUACAAAAAUUUCAGAAUCGAUUGCUCGACUAAUGCACCAUGCAAGUCUCAUGGUUAAGAACCACCAUGUAUUCUACAGUUAUACCACAAUGUCCUGGAUAAUGGUAAAGUCUCUUGACUACCAUGAUAAAAUUUUCUGCAUCAAAUGCACCAUGCAUCUCUAAUGGAUAUCAGGACCACCAUGUAUUCUACAGUUACACCACACAGUGUCCUGGAUAAUGGUAAAGUCUCUUGACUACCAUGAUAAAAUCCUCUGGUUACCAAAAUUUCAGAAUCAAUUGACUUACAAAUGCGCCAUGCAUCUCUCAUGGUUAAGAACCACCAUGUAUUCUUGUAACACCACACAAUGUCCUGGAUAAUGGUUUAAGUCUCUUGACUACCAUGAUAAAAUUCUCUGGUUACCAAAUUUUCUGAAUCAAUUGACUUACAAAUGCACCUACCAUGUAUCUCUCAAGGUUAAGAACCACUAUCUAUUCCACAGUUCUACCAUGUUACGUCCUGGAUAAUGGUAAAGUCUCUUGACUGCCAUGAUAAAAUUCUCUGGUUUCCAAAAUUUCAGAAUCAUUUGGCUGACAAAUGCUAAACUAGCGAUAAUCUGU